CCCCAACUGCCUCCAGGAUGUUGCAGACCUACACCCUGGCCUGAGCUUCCUGCAGGAGGCAGAGCUGCUCUGCUGGGAUCACCAGGGUGAUGUGAACCGGUCUUGGUCCCGGUGGAUCUCUUGCCAGAGAUAAGGUGAAGCCGCUUCCUGCAGGCUUCUUCCUGUUUCCUGUGACACAGGCACCUGUCACUUCGAUGAUGCACUUUCAUAACUCUUCAGAAGACAACCUUGCUAUGAAUGAACAGAGUAUAUAGAAUGUGUGAGUUAACCAACUAUUUUGUCAUAAAUUGGCAACCUCUUUAAUACUUAGAGACUAGGAUAUCAUAGGACUCAUUUGUCCAGUAUGUACAAUACACACAGUACAGCAAAGUUACAUGAGAUGCACACAACAUACAUGGUGAUGGGUAAGCUAGAAAGGUCUAGUACACUAAGGGAAUUUUUUGAAAUUUCUUCCCUCCCACCUCCUCAAACAAGUAUAGCCAGUACAAUGUUCUCAGAAAUGGGUUAAAAAUUUCAUUACUACACACACUAUUUAUCCAGUUUUUUAAAACUAUUUACAUAAA
rnacentral:lncRNA from 1 species